GAGAAAAAGAUUAUUAUCGGUUUUUAUUUUCUUUAAAUUUUUUAGGUGAAAUUUAUAUUUUUUUAUACUCUACGAAAUUUAGAAAUUAAACUAGGAUUAGAUACCCUUUUAUGCUGAAUGAAUACCUGGGUAUUAUUAGGUAUGGUCUUUAAACCCAAAGGAUUUGGCGGUAUUUUAGUCUUUUCAGAGGAACCUGUCCCGUAAUCGACAACCCACGAUUUUAUGUACUUUAAUUUGCAGUUUUUAUACCUCCGUCAUAAGAAUAUCCUUUUAGGGUAAUUUUCUUAAUUAUUUAAGAUUAAUAUGUCAGGUCAAGGUGAAGCUUAUAUUCAAGUGGAGAUGGGUUACAAUAAAGUUAUUUAUGCGGAUUUUUAUACUUAUAUUUAUGAUGAAGUUGGAUUUGAUUGUAAAUUUAUUUCUUAGGUUUAUUGAUUUUGGCUCUAAAAUAUGCACACAUCGCCCGUCGCUCUCAUAAUAAGGUGAGAUAAGUCGUAACAAAGUAGAUGUAUCGGAAGAUGUAUCUAGAAA
rnacentral:rRNA from 1 species